CCCUUAGAUGUUCUGGGCCGCACGCGCGCUACACUGACGGAGUCAACGAGUUGUCCUGCAUCGGAAGGUGUGGGUAAUCUUUUGAAACUUCGUCGUGCUGGGGAUAGAUCUUUGCAAUUUUCGAUCUUGAACGAGGAAUUCCUAGUAAGCGUGAUUCAUCAGAUCGCGUUGAUUACGUCCCUGCCCUUUGUACACACCGCCCGUCGCUACUACCGAUUGAAUGAUUUAGUGAGGACUUCGGACUGGGACCGAUGCGGCUUUCGGGCUGCGUCGGUAUUCUGGAAAGAUGUCCAAACUGUAUCAUUUAGAGGAAGUAAAAGUCGUAACA
rnacentral:rRNA from 1 species